rnacentral:rRNA from 1 species
UCUCCUUUUUCUAAUCAGUGAACUAAUCUUCCCGUGAAGAAGCGGGAAUAUCCCCAUAAGACGAGAAGACCCCAUGGAGCUUCAAACCCAAUUACACCCCUAACCCCUAUAACUACUUAACCCUUAGGAUUCUGUAUUAUUGGUUUUAGGUUGGGGCGACCACGGAGUACAACAAAACCUCCACAAUGAACGGAACUACUUCCUCAUCUGAGAGCUACAUCUCUAAGAAUUAAAAUAUUAACAUAAAAUGAUCCAUUUUUGAUCAAUGAACCAAGUUACCCUGGGGAUAACAGCGCAAUCCAUUUCAAGAGCCCCUAUCGACAAAUGGG